GGGGGCAUAGCCCGGUAAAUGGUAUCCGGAAGGGUCAAAUACGGGAAAGUGAAGAAAUCAUAAUCUGGACUGCAACUCGCCUUCGGCAACAGAGCAGGUUCGAUUCCUGCUGCCCCCACCA
rnacentral:tRNA from 2 species